rnacentral:rRNA from 1 species
AGGACGAACGCUGGCGGCGUGCUUAACACAUGCAAGUCGAGCGGAAAGGCCCUUCGGGGUACUCGAGCGGCGAACGGGUGAGUAACACGUGAGCAACCUGCCCUUAGCUCUGGGAUAGCUCCGGGAAAACCGGAUUAAUACCGGAUAUGACCUAGGCCGACAUCGGCCGUGGUGGAAAGUUUUUCGGCUAGGGAUGAGCUCGCGGCCUAUCAGCUAGUUGGUGGGUAACGGCCUACCAAGGCGACGACGGGUA